rnacentral:rRNA from 2 species
GGAUUGCCUCAGUAACGGCGAGUGAAGCGGCAAAAGCUCAAAUUUGAAAUCUAGCACUUUCAGUGUUCGAGUUGUAAUUUGAAGAAGGUAACUUUGGUUUUGGCUCUUGUCUAUGUUCCUUGGAACAGGACGUCACAGAGGGUGAGAAUCCCGUGCGAUGAGAUGCCCAAUUCCAUGUAAAGUGCUUUCGAAGAGUCGAGUUGUUUGGGAAUGCAGCUCUAAGUGGGUGGUAAAUUCCAUCUAAAGCUAAAUAUUGGCGAGAGACCGAUAGCGAACAAGUACAGUGAUGGAAAGAUGAAAAGAACUUUGAAAAGAGAGUGAAAAAGUACGUGAAAUUGUUGAAAGGGAAGGGCUUGAGAUCAGACUUGGUAUUUUGCGUUCCCUUCCUUUUUGGUUGGGUUCCUCGCAGUUUACUGGGCCAGCAUCGGUUUGGAUGGUAGGAUAAUGACAUUGGAAUGUAGCUUUACUUCGGUGAAGUGUUAUAGACUUUGUUGAUACUGCCUAUCUAGACCGAGGACUGCGUCUUUGACUAGGAUGCUGGCGUAAUG